GACGAACGCUGGCGGCGUGCUUAACACAUGCAAGUCGAGCGGUAAGGCCCUUUCGGGGGUACACGAGCGGCGAACGGGUGAGUAACACGUGGGUGACCUGCCCUCAGCUCUGGGAUAAGCCUGGGAAACUGGGUCUAAUACUGGAUAUGACUCCACGGUGCAUGUCGUGGGGUGGAAAGCCUUGUGCGGCUGAGGAUGGGCCCGCGGCCUAUCAGCUUGUUGGUGGGGUGANGGCCUACCAAGGCGACGACGGGUAGCCGGCCUGAGAGGGCGACCGGCCACACUGGGACUGAGACACGGCCCAGACUCCUACGGGAGGCAGCAGUGGGGAAUCUUGCGCAAUGGGCGAAAGCCUGACGCAGCGACGCCGCGUGAGGGAUGACGGCCUGGUGUAACUC
rnacentral:rRNA from 1 species